GACGAACGCUGGCGGCGUGCUUAACACAUGCAAGUCGAACGGUAAGGCCCCAGCUUGCUGGGGUACACGAGUGGCGAACGGGUGAGUAACACGUGGGUGACCUGCCCCGCACUUCGGGAUAAGCCUGGGAAACUGGGUCUAAUACCGGAUAGGACCGCACCGUGAGGGUGUGGUGGAAAGUUUUUCGGUGUGGGAUGGGCCCGCGGCCUAUCAGCUUGUUGGUGGGGUAAUGGCCUACCAAGGCGGCGACGGGUAGCCGGCCUGAGAGGGUGGACGGCCACAUUGGGACUGAGACACGGCCCAGAGUCCUACGGGAGGCAGCAGUGGAGAAUAUUGCACAAUGGGCGGAAGCCUGAUGCAGCGACGCCGCGUGGGGGAUGACGGCCUUCGGGUUGUAAACUCCUUUCACCAUCGACGAAGGUUUUCUGACGGUAGAUGGAGAAGAAACACCGGCUAACUACGU
rnacentral:rRNA from 1 species